AAUAUCUUCAAGAUGGGAACACAUCAAAAAUUUAUAUAUCAUAAAGUCAUUCUGAGGCAGUGUACCACAAAUGAAGGGAACUUACACAAAUGUUAACAACUUUGAGGACACUGAAAAUUCAUAUUGAAGAGGAAGACAUUUAUAUGAUAAACAGACUGCCAAUAAAAAAAUACUCCACAGUCAAUGGUAAAGGUAAUGCUGAAACAAUAGACAUUUCCAUUAAAAUUGGAACAGAAACAGGCCUGUUACUCCAUCAGUAUAGAUGUGAAGUUCUUCACCUGUGUAAUAAGUUGUGUUAGAAAGGAAGAGACAAAAACAGAUGCUAUGAUCAUCUAUAAGUAAUAAAAAUCUGGUAUUGCUUCAGCAGAGAGAAAGAGAUUCUAGAAAGAGACCUAUUCAUUUAGUAGAACUUGCAAUAUUAAAGAAAUCCAUCAGAUGAGAAAAUAUGGGACUAUUUUAAAAAAUUAUUUGGAGGUAAUUUGUUCUCUGAAGGGGAAAGAAAAUAGACCAUGAACACACAAGCAAAAUUCAUGGGAAUUGAAGACUGAAAGAUACAAAAGCCAUGCACUAAAGUGGCUGUGACCUUUGGAGUAGGGAAACUUUCCUUCUUCUUAACAAAUUUAAAAAUAUUUAGCAGUUUUACUUGUGAGUGUAUAUGCUCAGGAGAUACCAGGAAACUUACUGUGGCUUGAUUUGUAGCCAAAUAUUGGAAACAACUUAAUUGUUCAUCAGGAACAAAAAGAAGUUCUUAUGAUGUGACACUAUACAUCUGCAAAAUGCAAAUAUGAGAUCCACAUGUUAUUAACAGAAGGAUCUAAAAAAAUUGCAUUGAGGGGGAAAAAGAAGUUGCAGGAUGAUACAUGUAGUGA
rnacentral:lncRNA from 1 species